CCUACGGGUGGCAGCAGUGAGGAAUAUUGGUCAAUGGGCGCGAGCCUGAACCAGCCAAGUCGCGUGAGGGAUGAAGGUUCUAUGGAUCGUAAACCUCUUUUAUAAGGGAAUAAAGUGUGGGACGUGUCCUAUUUUGUAUGUACCUUAUGAGUAAGGAUCGGCUAACUCCGUGCCAGCAGCCGCGGUAAUACGGAGGAGCCGAGCGUUAACCGGAUUUAUUGGGUUUAAAGGGUGCGUAGGCGGCCUUUUAAGUCAGCGGUGAAAGCCUGUGGCUCAACCAGAGAAUUGCCUUUGAAACUGGGGGGCUUGAGUAUGUUUGAGGCAGGCGGAAUGCGUGGUGUAGCGGUGAAAUGCUUAGAUAUCACGCAGAACCCCGAUGGCGAAGGCAGCCAGCCAGGCCAUGACUGACGCUGAUGCACGAAAGCGUGGGGAUCAAACAGGAUUAGAUACCCCGGUAGUC
rnacentral:rRNA from 1 species